rnacentral:lncRNA from 1 species
CGCGCCUCGGGCUCGGGGCGUGACAGAUUUGGUGGUAUCAGAGCUCAGAUUUCAGAUUCCUAGGGAUUGUGUUUGAAAUAGUCAGACGGAGCUUAAGUUUAGGAUCUUUAGGAUUCGUCGGAAAGUUUGAGAGAUGGGUAGACAUUAGGCCAUUAGACGAAGGUAUUUAUUUGCUUUUAUUGUUGAUAAAUUUGUGUUAUUUCAUCAGAAUUUUGAAAUGCUAAAAUUAGAAUGCAACCUAAUUAUGGUCGUUACCAAAGUGUGAAUAAGCUACUAUGAGAGUUUUCUUGGUGGAGCAAUUUGUAUUUCAAGUUAUGAUUAAUUAGAUUUUGGCUAAAUUAAGUGAAGGAAUAUUAAUCAUGAGAUAUUAUCGUGCAAUUUAAUUAUUUUGGAAGUUUAACUUGAUAUCAGGCACUGUGGAUAUUGCUUCUAGUUGAAGUUAAUUAUUUUGAUGGCAAAUUAAGAUUCAUCUAUAAAAAAAUGUUUAAAGUUUGGACUAGAAAAUAUUUAUUGAAAUCUGUAUGUGGGUCAUGCAUGGAACUCGUAUAUAGAAGGAAAAUAUACUUGGGGAUGAGACUUAAGAAUUUUUAUUUGGCUCUACUUGAGACUUGAAACAAUUAAGAUUGAUAUUUUGAUGGAAAGUCAAUUAGUACAUCUUGAGAAUAUUAGUGUUAAAAUAUUUUUGGGUUGGUCGAAGAUAGGACCUCUUUGAUUUGGAAAAGUUCUUGAUGGUUUUUCUUGUUAAUAAAAAAAAGAUUGUUGGAAAGCAUAAUACUUAUGAUUUUGAUCGAUAUGGAUAUCAUUGUGUUAUUAGUAGAUUCUCUAAGUCUAGUAGAUUUACAAGAUCCCGAAAUGUUUGCAGUACUGCAAAUAAAAAUAUUCUACUUAUUUGAGGAGUUGAUCUCAAUGUAAAAUCAUAUAGCUUAUAUCUGGGUAGAAAUUUUUGUAAAUCUUUAAACUAGAUUAUUAGAUUCUUGUGAAUUAAAUAUUUAUAAAUCAAGGCCAUGAGUUGAUUAUGGAUUUUGUCUCACCAUAUGAGAAAUGCAAGUGGGAUUUCAUGAGAGACCCAAAUAAGUUUAGCCUAAAGAAAAGAUUCAGGAUGAUUGACUAGGCUCUUGAGUAAGCUAAUCUGGAAUCUUUUAAUUAUCAAAGCUUAGAAUAAAUAUUAACUUGUAUAAUAGAAUUGUCAAGGGAAACUAGAAUUGGCUUAGUUCAAAUUUGGAUCUAAAAUAUGAUUACUUGAUCAUAUGAUUGUAUAAAUACGACAACUAUCUCAAGGGUUAAUCAUGACCUAGUGUACUUGGGAAGCAAGGAUAAAAUGUUGCUUGGAUAUUAAAAAGAAAAAAAAAAUGCUGAUAAUUUGGGAUCAUUAAGAAAGUUUGGAGAAUAUUGAUCUGAGUUGCGCAGCGGAAAUUUGAUGGACUGAGUAAAUUUAAACUGGUCAAAAAUAUUGACUGUGUUUUGGUAACAUGUUAUAAUAAAAGACUGUUGUUCAAUAAUGAAAGAUUUUGUUAAUAAGGAAAGGUGAAUACUAUUGAUUCUCAGGUCAAUCAUGAUAUGUUAUCUUCUGUAUAAA